rnacentral:rRNA from 1 species
UACGUAGGGUGCGAGCGUUGUCCGGAAUUAUUGGGCGUAAAGAGCUCGUAGGCGGUUUGUCACGUCUGCUGUGAAAACUGGAGGCUCAACCUCCAGCCUGCAGUGGGUACGGGCAGACUAGAGUGCGGUAGGGGAGAUUGGAAUUCCUGGUGUAGCGGUGAAUGCGCAGAUAUCAGGAGGAACACCGGUGGCGAAGGCGGAUCUCUGGGCCGUAACUGACGCUGAGGAGCGAAAGCUGGGGGAGCGAACGG